AGAGGAAGUAAAAGUCGUAACAAGGUUUCCGUAGGUGAACCUGCGGAAGGAUCAUUACCGAAUUGUCAACACGAGUUGUUGCUGGUCCCCGAACCGGGGGCAUGUGCACACUCUGUUCACACAUCCACCCACACCUGUGCACCCUCUGUAGUUCCGUGGCCUGGGCGACUUUUUAUCCCCUUGCCCGUGGUUCUAUGUCUUUACACACACACUGCCAUAAAGUCUCAUGGAAUGUUUGCCCGCGUUUAACGCAAUACAAUACAACUUUCAGCAACGGAUCUCUUGGCUCUCGCAUCGAUGAAGAACGCAGCGAAAUGCGAUAAGUAAUGUGAAUUGCAGAAUUCAGUGAAUCAUCGAAUCUUUGAACGCACCUUGCGCCCUUUGGCUAUUCUGAAGGGCAUGCCUGUUUGAGUAUCAUGAACACCUCAACUCCUCAUGGUUUGCCAUGACGAGCUUGGACUUUGGGGGUCUUGCUGGCCUAUGGUUAGCUCCUCUCAAAUGGAUCAGCUUGCCGGUGUUUGGUGGCGUCACAUGUGUGAUAAAUAUCUACGCUUGCGGUUUUCCACCAUGAUGUAACCUUCAGCAAUGGAGGUUCGCCGGAGCUCACAAAUGUCCCUCCUCGGCGAGGACAGCUUUUUGAACGUUUGAUCUCAAAUCAGGUAGGAUUACCCGCUGAACUUAAGCAUAUCAAU
rnacentral:rRNA from 1 species